CCUGACAAAGGAGCCAUUGCCUUGGGAAUAGCAGGUGUGGCCACCAUACUCAGGAUGGCUCCUUUGUCCCCUCCACCAUCUCCAAAUCCCUCUUUCUAGAGAAGAGUUACUCUUAAAAGCUUUCUCUGGUACCCAAUAUCAUUACCUCUAGUGUCCUUUCUUUCAGAAUCCUCCCGUCUGACUACAUCCUUCCCAAGAUCUUUUCCAUGUGACUUAGACAAGAAUUAAGCUGGAUCUGAAUCCAUUUCAAAGCUGCAUAGGCACAUCCCCAAAGAUGUCCCUCGAAGGGCGGUGAGGAACUGUAAAAAGGACAGCCCAACCUCCUCCACACACACUAGUAUGAACUAACAGAAGGAGACGGAAGGGGGAGAAGCCGGUUUGAGGUGAACGAAAAAACGACCAUAUUAACUGUGGAAAGUGUCAAGGGGAAUGGGGGAAGGGGUGACCAUGAAUUUAAGCCAUCCACCUGUGCUUCUGAAUCACAAGCUGACUGGAUAGCAGAAGGACUACCCAGACACCCUGCGGUCCUGCCAAGCAGGCUGACAGGCUGACAGGCUGACAGGCUGACAGGCUGACUUCCGCCACAGCACUGCACCACCACUUCACCAGGCGAGCACAGCCAGACAUCGGCGUGGACACAGCAUGGGUGGCACAGAGAUUUCCAGGCCUGCUCCGUGCCCUGUCUCAUGGGGUGUGAUAUGAGACUGGAACAAGUUGUCUCUGUGGCGGGCAGCCAAGGAGCAUUUGCCUCUCACACUGCACCCAGCGCGAGGAGCACGUGGAACGACCAUGACCUGGAGGGUGUUCCCUUGCUCCAGUAGCACCUGGUGUGGGGAAGAGGGGAGGAGUCGUCCUCUUUGAAUCAACCUGGGGCGGGGCCAAUCUGCGGGUUUGCUACUCCUCUAGGUGGCUUGUACUGGAUUCCAAGGAGGAAGGUUAAAGCUGUCACUCCAGAGAGUGUGAAGGCUAAAAUAAUUCAGACGCGUAAUACAAGAUCAUCAUGUUCUGCAGUGUCCUAGUGAUUUACGUAAAGGACUACUGUGCCGUCUAUUUGCCAACCACUACGUCUCAUCCCUUGCUACCUGAGCAGAGUGACCUGGGGAAGCAGAUGAAACAAUAGGUCAUUGGCCUUAACGACUUGCUGACUGCUGUGUACAUUUCUGUAAAAUCUUCCUUGUUUGUUCACACCACCAUCCCCCCCCAGAAGGUUUAGAGUACAAACCUUCAGAGAAUACAAAGUGAACCUGGGACCGGGGCCCUUCAGGAACCAUCCUGGUUCUGAUCGCCUUGUGACACCUCGGUUCCACUCAUACUGGUGUAAGGGCGCUUCCUCAGGAAACUUCCCACAAUGAAAGUACGUCCCUGGAAGUGGGCUCCGAGAGUGAAAGGCCGCACCGCACUCACAGUUCACCAUCUCUGCUUCGUGCCCGUGGCUCAAGGCGAGAGCUCCAGCGGAUAGACUUGCCAACCUGACGUGCCAUCCCGACCAUCGUACCCCUCUGGAACCCUAAGUAAAAAUGUUAACUCUUUCUUCUUUAAGUUGGGCAGGGCAUUUUGUCACGGCAACCAGAAAAGUAACCAGUACCUAGCUCGAAUGGCAAGCUUGUAUUACCAGCAUCUUUCCACAAAUCUGUAUCUAACUCCCAUCUAUUAAGGAGCUGUGGAAAGCCCGUACUACUAGACAUAGUCAAGACUACAUGCAAGCACAGCCAGGAGUGACCGACAACGUGUCCUACCCGGACUCUUGUUCGCAUGCAUACUCUAUUGAUCCAUUGAAAUUUGCCGAUGCUAUUGCUUCCUGAUACAAGAAGCUGGGUCCUGAAACUCACCCUGUAGAUCGGGCUGGUCUCAAACAGAGGUCUGCCUUCCUCUGCCACCGGAGUGCUGGGAUUAAAGGUGUGUGCCACCACCACCCCCCCGGCUGGACUUUCUUUACGCAAAUUCAAAUAUAUUUUCAAGAUGCCAACAGCAGAGCAUAAAACAAAUGCCAAAUCCUUCUGAAUGUGGAUCCCUGGGUGAUUGCACCAUAAGGCAAGGGUAAGCAACUGCUUCCUGAGGCUCACUCCAAGGGAGAAAAUAAAUGCUCCUUUUCUCUAGAAAAUGCAAGCACGGACAUCUGCCUUCAUGGACUCAUGAGUACUAAGCGCAUUAAGACAUUAUAAGUUGUUAGUUAUGAUAUAGAUUUAGGUAAAGUAGAAGAAACAAGAGCAUCGGAAGAUAAAACAAGGCCCUUCAAGUAACUGACGCCAUUGUAAUGAAUGGAGGACACCUAAAGACAGUCUUGUUGACCUCAAGGAACUCACACACAUAACAGAGUGAUGAGCUGUCACAUAACUUGUUGUAAGUGGUGUAAGUCAGGUAGGCCAGAGGCUGUAAAGAGACUGCAUUUGAUACCUCCUCUGAGGGACAGACACAGCCAUUAUUACAUAGCGGGCAGGCCCUACUGGGGAAAUGUUGUGACCUUCUCUACCCUCUAGGGGGCGCUCAAGGUCUUCUCUGCUGAUAUCUUGAAGGAACUUGUCUUUCCAGAGAGAAGGCCCCUUAGAAUUAGCUUAAGGCUCUGGUGUCUGCUGGAAUCUCUUCUUUCAGGUGUUUGCUUUUGAGCUGCUCACCAUUCGGUUCCCAUGGUGCUGGCGCAUGCAGGUGGCACAUGCUGCUGCUAGUCUGGCUUUCCCCACUCCUUGGAAAAGCUGUCGUUCCACUUAGAAGACUAAGCAAGAACCAGAGGACAGCCUCUUGUGCAGAAAAAGACUCAUCUAGGAAAGGUUUUGAGCUUAAGACAGAUCAUAAGAUGGUUUAGGGUGAGGUUUGUUUAGGUUUGUCUUUCGGUUUGUUUGGUUGGUUGGUUGGUUUGGUUUUUGUAACUUGUUUUGUUGUUUGUUUGUUUGUUUGUUUUCUGCAUUCUAAAUGAUGAUGUUUGCCAAGGUACUGAGAGGAAAUGGCAGGAUGGAGUUCAGAAGUUUGAAACUCAAACAUAUCCAGCACUCCAUGGCCAAGAGUUGGUUCUAGAUCUUGCUUUCACUAAUGUUUCAUGACUAUACCCUGGAUUUGAAGUUGCAAAACUCUCCUGAUUCUUGAGGAAAAAAUGCAUGAGGAUGUUCUAAAAUUUCUCUUAUUCACAAAAGCAACUACAUUUCAUUGGAAGAUAUUUCUCUGAUUUCUAAAUUAAACCCCAUUUUCAUCUCUUGCAUCUUUUUUAUUGUAUUUGUAAACCUGUGCUUGAGCAGUCUAGGACAGAAGGAGUCCUAGGGUAGUUUCUGGCUAUCUUGCCAGAAAGCUAAGGAGUUUUGUAUUGUUGUAUCCUCCUUCCCCCAAAGAGAUUCAUGCCCUAAGUUUGAUUUAAAUGUAGUUUUCCCUUGUCAAUUCAAGAAUCAAACUGUCUAGGGAUGGCGUGAAGAGAGCCAGUUCCAAAGGAAGCAGUGGCUAGGAAAUGUACUUGUUUAACAAGGAAUUCCAACUGGUUCCUUGCUGUAUCAGUAGAAGUAGCUGAGCCUAUGCCUCUAUGCCUUUUGUUUUUGUUUAUAUUUUGUUUGCUGGAGAAGCUGAUUAUGUUAGAUGUCAGUGUUCUGAAACAAUUCAGUCACUGUACAUGAGAAAUGACUUCAAGGUGCUGGGAGACUGAAGAGGAGACAGAUCCAGCUUUACAUAGAGUGCAAUUAAUUUACUGAGAAGUGUGAUUUUACACUCAGAGGUGUGAUUUGGGGGAGCAGAAAAAUCUGGUAAAGUUCGAGCAGUUUGGAUCAGAAAGAGGCAUUUAUUUGUUAGGACAAAGGUAACUUCAUCCGACCCAUAAUGUAACUGGCUUACAUUAGCUAAUACCAGUGAGUCAGGAACAUUCCUGGUGCUUGUCUAUAUAUAAUGCUAAAAGAAUAGGAUAGAUGAUAGCGAUAGAUAGAUAGAUGAUAGAUAGAUAGAUAGAUAGAUAGAUAGAUAGAUAGAUAGAUAGAUGAUGGAUAGAUAGAUGAUGGAUAGAUAGACAGACAGAUAGAUAGAUAGAUAGACAGACAGACAGACAGACAGACAGAUAGAUAGAUAGAUAGAUAAUGGAUGGAUAGAUAGAUAGAUAGAUGAUGGAUAGAUAGAUAGUAGAUUAUGGUGACAAUUUUAGAGUUUUGGUUUCUUUAAAAACAUAGAAAUAUUAUAAAAAUGUUUGUGUUUUAAUCUCAGGUGAGGGAUAUGGGCCUGCUUCAGAUUAAUCACAGCAGCUAACUAUGAUUUGCCUCAUGCUGUAACAAGGGUGUGAUUUUACUAGUGGCAAAUAGUUCCUGGAAUUUGGAAUUUGAAGGGCUUUUCAGAGAUUAUAUAAAUGCUGGGGCCCUGGGGUGGCAUGUUACUGUUGGGUUGGUUGUUGGUUGCUAUUGAUCUCCAUGGUUUUUUAAGUAGCCAUGCACAAAGAAGAAAGAAGAAGAAAUUAGAUAUUGAUGGCUAAGAUCAAACUUGCCCCAAGCAACUCGACACUCCUAACCAGCAGGAAGUAGUCUAAUGACAAUACCGCCCCCUUUCCUUUCUAUCCUUUUUCCCCCUCUCCUAUCUCGUGUUAGAGGGUUGAAAGGGUAGAAAGGGGGUGGGGAAAGGAGGAAGAAAGAAGAACCUACAAAGUGGCAAAGAUGGCCUACAAUGGUUUUCUGGGAAAUUAUGUAGGGAAAAGCUGACUGGUUAUACAGGCAAGGUGGUAUUGUGAUUCUCUAUGGCUCUAGUCAUGUAAGGCUAAAUCCAUACAACUGGCCACAAGGCAGUGCCUUGGACAUUUGCCAAGCAGACUAUCAGAAAGUAAUAUUGAAAGAACUUGCUUUGUAUGAGGUGUUGUAUGAGGUAAAUUGUCCCAGAGCAAAUGGUGGAGAUCUGGCUAUGUUCCUAGACCCCCUCUUUCUCCAUUCUCAUCUCGACCCCUAUGCAAAUGGCUUGACUAUGCUGAAGUCCAGGCCUCUUGCUGUUUUUGCAAUCAAUUCUUUUGCAAGCAGUAUCUUCUGGAAAUUCCCAUGACCCUACACAACAAGCAAUUGUUCUCUGACCUUGAUUCUAGCACAAAUGCAGUUUUCUUUCUACUUUUAUAUUCUAUGGUUGUGACUGAAGAAAUCUUGGUGUUUGUAUAGAAGAGGCUACAUGAUUAUGUUGAUCUCAAUUUUGCCCAGACAUUUCCUUCACAUCUCUUUCUGAGGCUCACUCGGGGUUCAGAACACUUUUGCCUUCCUGAAACAUUUCUGUCCCACUUAGAAUAUAAUACCAACUCCAUAAGGGGCCUAAAAGAGCUUGCUGUGCCUACUCCUGAUGACUCUCCCUUCACUCUGACCUUAUUCUCCUUAAAUACACCAGAUAGGAUAUACCUCAGGACCUCAUAGCAGUUGCUGGUCUCCCUGUCUGGGAUCUUAUACUUCAUAUUUUCACAUGGUUCACACACCUAUCUCAUCCACACCCUGUACAACUGUUACUCCAGAGAUGCCCACUUAAUUCAGUAUCAGAAACAACCGACAAGCUAUCCAUACCUCUUAGGAGAUUUGCCCUACUUUAAUAGCAUUCCAUGCUAUCUAAGCUCGAUUGUCCUGCCCGUCUCAUAGAAUGAUGCUCUUCCUGGUGGAAAAGCUGGGGCCAGAACUUAAUGUGAUCUAAUGCUGCCAACUCCCCUUUGCCUGCCUGAUAGAGGUAUGUUCUUUGAUGUGAGAAAGGGCUUGACUGGUCAGAAGUGGUCCAGGGAUGUCUCCUUCUCUUAUAGGAAGAGGGCUAAUUGGUGGCCUUAGCAUUUUCCCAACAACCUAAAACUUUUAUUAGAGAUGUACAUUUCCUGUUCUUUCUGACAAGUCUGGUCAGUAGCUACUCAUUCUUGAGUGGCCCUUUAUUGUCUAAAUUCUACUUUGCGUACCUUGGUAUUUCCUAAGCAACUUUAGCUGAUCUGUUGUAACAUCUGUCUUCUGUUCUGACUUCCUUUUAUAUCAAUAGGAAUGCUGAAGAUGUAAGGGAUCCUGAGCACAUCAACUGGGUUGAGACUGCCACUCACUCAGGACCAGGCUUAUAUUGUUGCUUCCUGGAAAGUACUUGUAACUGGCUGAGAACAUCACUUGGGAACCUCGAACCUAUAAAAGCUGGGGUCCUUCACCCUUCUUCCCCUAAUCCCAAAACUCCUUACUACACGGAGUGUGCUAAAACACACCUUUGAACAUAUUUUUAAUUGGAAUGUAACUUGUGAAGGAUGUACUCUUGACACACUUCUGAUUCUUUUGUCCCUAUGUUAAGCUGUUAAAAGCUAGGAACAGGGUAAGACUUUUAUAAUUGAAAGCAACUUCAAAGCUGGGUGGUGGCAGUGGCUCACACCUUUAAUUUCAACACUUGGGAGGCAGAGGCAGGGGGAGCUCUGGGAGUUCAAGGCCAGCCUGGUCUACAGAGCAAGUUCCAGCCAUGGCUACAAAGAAAAACCCUGUCUCAAACAAACAAAACAAGCAGGUAAUUUCAAUUAAACAGUUAUAUAUUGACAAAAUUAAUCAAUAGAUUCCUGCAGCCAUAAAAUGUGAUUGAUAGUGUGUAUCACCAAUCAGUUACCUGACUGGGUUUUAAAACCUUUCCUCUUCCCUCCUCCUUUUCCCUAAAUCUGUUCUUUCACAAAAAAAAAAUCACUAGAGAAGGUAUGAACCAACCAAUGGGUAUGAUCACGGUGUCUUCUUGACCGUUUAAGAAGGCUUCCAGAGAUGACUUGAAAUUUUAUGAAAAAGAUGCCAAGCUGAGCUUUUCACUUUUGCUGAUUCAAAACCCACUACACUGAAGCCCUUAUGGAAAUCGGGAUUGAAAACCAGAGCGUCCUCGUCAGGUGCCCAGGUGUAAGCAGUGCUGACUUGGCAAUCAGGUGGCAAAGCAUCUCACAUUCCCUAAACCUUUAGAGUAGCUAUUCAGCAGGCCAAGCAGGCAUCCGAAUCUGUUCCCUUCCAAGUGGAAGACCUCUUGCAAGUGGCCUUCUGGCAGUUAAGCAAGGCUGGGUGUUUAGUUCUGGCCACUUACAGUCUGAAAUAAAGAUCUGUUUAUCUCUUUUA